rnacentral:misc_RNA from 1 species
AAGUCGUAACAAGGUUUCCGUAGGUGAACCUGCGGAAGGAUCAUUACCUUUCAAUGCAGAAGAGUUGAGAUGGUUGAGUAUCUCGCCUCUCAAUUCUCGCUGUAUUUUACCCUUGUUUUUCUCAUACUAUUAUUUCCUCGGCAGGCUCGCCUGCCGGGGGAAACAACUUCAAACCUGUUUAAUUUUCAAUCAGCGUCUGAACAAAUUAAUAAUUACAACUUUCAACAACGGAUCUCUUGGUUCUG